AGAUUGAACGCUGGCGGCAGGCCUAACACAUGCAAGUCGAGCGGCAGCACGGGUACUUGUACCUGGUGGCGAGCGGCGGACGGGUGAGUAAUGCCUAGGAAUCUGCCUGGUAGUGGGGGAUAACGCUCGGAAACGGACGCUAAUACCGCAUACGUCCUACGGGAGAAAGCAGGGGACCUUCGGGCCUUGCGCUAUCAGAUGAGCCUAGGUCGGAUUAGCUAGUUGGUGAGGUAAUGGCUCACCAAGGCGACGAUCCGUAACUGGUCUGAGAGGAUGAUCAGUCACACUGGGACUGAGACACGGCCCAGACUCCUACGGGAGCAGCAGUAGGGAAUAUUGGACAAUGGGCGCAAGCCUGAUCCAGCAAUCGCCGCGUGAGUGA
rnacentral:rRNA from 1 species